CCUACGGGAGGCAGCAGUGAGGAAUAUUGGACAAUGGGCGCAAGCCUGAUCCAGCCAUGCCGCGUGCAGGAAGAAGCAUCUAUGGUGUGUAAACUGCUUUUGUACAGGAAGAAACACUCCCUCGUGAGGGAGCUUGACGGUACUGUAAGAAUAAGGACCGGCUAACUCCGUGCCAGCAGCCGCGGUAAUACGGAGGGUCCGAGCGUUAUCCGGAAUCAUUGGGUUUAAAGGGUCCGUAGGCGGUUUAAUAAGUCAGUGGUGAAAUCUGGUCGCUCAACGAUCAAACGGCCAUUGAUACUGUUAGACUUGAAUUAUAAGGAAGUAACUAGAAUAUGUAGUGUAGCGGUGAAAUGCUUAGAUAUUACAUGGAAUACCAAUUGCGAAGGCAGGUUACUACUUAUGGAUUGACGCUGAUGGACGAAAGCGUGGGGAGCGAACAGGAUUAGAUACCCUGGUAGUCCACGCCGUAAACGAUGGAUACUAGCUGUUCGGAAGNANUGAGUGNGUAGAGAAGAGAGUAGUAGUACCGACCGUCGGAGGUACGGUUCGUCGAGAAGUUAGUAACGUUAACGAAAGAAGUUAGAGGCGNGAGAGNGCGACGGACGACGACGAGGGAGGAGG
rnacentral:rRNA from 1 species